rnacentral:tRNA from 1 species
AAAUGUAUAUUAUAUUUUAAUUAUUUUUAUUUUAAGCUUAAAAGAUUUCUCAUUUA